rnacentral:lncRNA from 1 species
CUCCAAAGUUAUAUCAAACCCCUCAUCCUUUUCACUACUAAUAGCAACUUUGGGUGUCUUCUCAGAUUGACCGCAAUGACCAUUCUCAUUUGAUAUACCUAAAGUUCCAUCCCCAUCAGAUGUUUGGUUUGAAAAACUCUCAGUUUCUUGUUUCAUCUGAGCCUCAUUUCCACUACGUCUUUCUAGCUCUUCAAGUCUAUUUCCUUUUCCGUACUCAUCAGAAACCAUUCUAAAUUUUCCUUUACUUUGAUCUUUUACACAUGCCUCGUUUUCCC